rnacentral:lncRNA from 12 species
AAACAAGAGACCACACCAGAGAGAAACGAUGGGCCGCAGCCUCAAAAUAGGUGUCCAGGGAAGGCUCCCUGAGCAGGUGAUCCUUAUGCUGACGCAUAAAAAUGUGGAGAGACAAUUAGGUGAACUGGAUAUGCGUGGGGAGGGGGUGCCGCAUCGUCCUGGAAGGCAGUGCGCGCAGAGGGACUAGACAGUGCAAAGACGCUGACGAGGGUCGGAUGUCCGCCGGGGGUGGGAAGCGAACCAGUGUGACCAGGGGACAGCAAGCCCUGAGUCUGGACAGUGACAGAGCCACAUCAGCAGGGUGCUACAGGCUGGGGGCUGAAUUUGGCUACUGGUCUAGGAACCAUGAGAAGCCAUGGAAGGACGUUGGAUGAAGGGCCUGAUUCCAUCUCUGUUGCUGCACAACUGGAGACCCGGCCGGAGGGGUCUUGGAGUAGAUGAAAGCGGAUCCGCAGCAAUUCUGGCAAAAAAGAUAAUGACGGCGUGGACUCAGACUGUAUCCAGCUUUAUUAAAGAUACUUUUCAUAAACGAUCAUGAUAUUUCAGGCAGGACAUGGGCGGACGAUCGCUCACAGUAUACAACAACCUUCAAACUCCCUUCUUCAGCGGACCACCAAAAUCAGGAAGCCACUGUGAAACCCAAGGAAGUCUUCACGUGAUGCUCUGAACGGGGAAAGUUUAGAGUUGACAGUUCACAUGUAGCAUGUUGUUUAACAACUUUUCACAAGCUGACCCUGACUUUCAGGAAAUGAAAUGAAAAUGGCAGAAUUAUCAAUCUGAAGAUCCACAAGCUAAAAAAGGGAACUCUUUUGAGGGAUGCCAUCUCAGUGGCGACCCUGUCAAGUCUAGAUUGCCUGACAUACUGGGAACCAUUUCAUGGGGUCAGGUUCUAACAGGUCUCUGGGUUUAAGGGUGUCAAGUCUAUGUUGAAGGCAGAGAGGGAGAAGAGGACAUAAAAAAAUGAAUUUUAGUUUUUCCACAGCACCAAGGUGGCUCCUGUGUGUCAACAUCAAGGAAUCCCUCCUCCUGGGAGCCAAGAGGAAGGUUCUCAAAACUAGAAGGGGAAGGUGUUUUUCCCUUUUGUUAUCAAUCUAGCUUUGGAAAUAUUCUAUUAGUGACAUGUGCCCUUCCCCCAAAACAAAAAUGAAGUGUUCCGAGUGCUAACAACAUAACUCAAAAAAAAAAAAAAAAAAAAAAAAAGUAAAAC